UUAAACAUGCAAGUCGAGCGGUAACAGACAUUUUGAUUCAGCUUGCUGAAUCUCGUGCUGACGAGCGGCGAACGGGUGAGUAACACGUAGGAAUCUACCCAGUAGCGGGGGAUAGCCCGAGGAAACUCGGAUUAAUACCGCAUACGCCCUACGGGGGAAAGGGGGCAUCUUUGAUGCUCUCACUAUUGGAUGAGCCUGCGUAAGAUUAGCUUGUUGGUAGGGUAAAGGCCUACCAAGGCGACGAUCUUUAGCUGGUCUGAGAGGACGAUCAGCCACAUUGGGACUGAGACACGGCCCAGACGUCUACGGACGGCAGCAGUUAAGAAUAUUGGACAAUGAGGGAAACCUUGAUCCCAGCCAUACCGCGUGUGUGAAGAAGGCCUUAGGGUUGUAAAGCACUUUAAGCGAAGAAGAAGAAAAGUAAGUUAAUACCUUACUUUUUUGACGUUACUCGCAGAAUAAGUACCGGCUAACUCCGUGCCAGCAGCCGCGGUAAUACGGAGGGUACAAGCGUUAAUCGGAAUUACUGGGCGUAAAGCGCGCGUAGGCGGUUAAGUAAGUUGGAUGUGAAAGCCCUGGGCUCAACCUAGGAACUGCAUUCAAAACUAUUUAACUAGAGUGCGAGAGAGGAGAGUAGAAUUUCUGGUGUAGCGGUGAAAUGCGUAGAUAUCAGAAGGAAUACCAAUGGCGAAGGCAGCUCUCUGGAUCGUCACUGACGCUAAGGUGCGAAAGCGUGGGUAGCAAACAGGAUUAGAUACCCUGGUAGUCCACGCCGUAAACGAUGAGAACUAGCCGUUGGGGAGAAUUAACUCUUCAGUGGCGCAGCUAACGCAUUAAGUUCUCCGCCUGGGGACUACGGCCGCAAGGCUAAAACUCAAAUGAAUUGACGGGGGCCCGCACAAGCGGUGGAUCAUGUGGUUUAAUUCGAUGCAACGCGAAGAACCUUACCUACCCUUGAAAUCCAGCGAAGUUCCUAGAGAUAGGAAUGUGCCCUUCGGGAACGCUGUGACAGGUGUUGCAUGGCUGUCGUCAGCUCGUGUCGUGAGAUGUAUGGUUAAAGUCCAGUAACGAGCGCAACCCCUAUCCUUAUUUGCCAGCGCAUAAUGGCGGGAACUAUAAGGAGACUGCCGGUCAUAAACCGGAGGAAGGCGGGGACGACGUCAAGUCAUCAUGGCCCUUAUGGGUAGGGCUACACACGUGAUACAAUGGGUGGUACAGAGGGUCGCCAAAGCGCGAGCUGGAGCCAAACCCUUAAAACCAUUCUUAGUCCGGAUUGGAGUCUGCAACUCGACUCCAUGAAGUCGGAAUCGCUAGUAAUCGCGAAUCAGAAUGUCGCGGUGAAUACGUUCUCGGGCCUUGUACACACCGCCCGUCACGUCAUGGAAGUGGGUUGCACCAGAAGUGGCUUGUUUAACCUUCGGGAAAACGGUCACCACGGUGUGAUUCACAACUGGGACG
rnacentral:rRNA from 1 species